UGACCUCGGAUCAGGUAGGGAUACCCGCUGAACAUAAGCAUUUCAAUAAGCGGAGGAAA
rnacentral:rRNA from 1 species